UCCACCUGGAACAGAGAGAAGUCCGUCAGGGGACCUUGCUGCGGAACUUGAGACCGGGAGUGCCGCUGCUGGUUCCCAUGACAAACUGGAGUCUGUCACAAGUCUGUGCAGCAUGGUUAAGAGGGCUUUACUGUCCCGACAGCAGCGUCAACUCAACCGAAGAACUGGUCUCCAAAAACAGUUCAUCCAAGCCUGAUGAGUCUUUGCCCACCGUAAACAACCUCUGUAACACCAACAAGACAAGCAUGGGGGAUGAUCCACUUCCUGAACUCUGUGACACUGGGAACUUAACACACAACACCAGUGAAACCCCCCGAGAGGUCAAAGGGCUUUUAAUUGAGAGCCUGCAGGAUUCUGGUCCAGAAGAAAAAGCAGAGAAGCUGAGCCCGGCUCCCCACACACAUUCGGAAGGUAAAUGUGCGCAUGAGCUCUCAGUUUACCUGAGAGGAGAAGAGUGUGGUGACGCAGAGGUCCUGACCCAGAGCACAGGUGUAUCUGCUGUCCCGCUGCCCUCUGCCCCGCCACCAAGGACCACAGGAGCCCAUCCUGAAGGAGACCCUGAGCACAGUCUCGGAGAAGUGCAGCGAAGGUAAGGCUGGAAAGAAGUUCCAGAUCACCCUCCAGUUAAAGAGAAAAUCAGCAGCCUUAGAAAAGGACAUCAUCGUAACCACUGAGACCGCUCCUCCAGGGAGGAACAUGUCCACAAAGGGAGGAGUCGGAGUCAGAGUCGGAGUAGGAAUCGGUGUAGAAGUUGGAGCAGGAGUCUGAGCAGGACUGAAGACCAUUGUCACGAAAAGUGGCGCUCCUUCACCAGAAGGCACAGCAAGCACAAGGGCCACGCCAUGGAGCACUACAAGAGGAGCCAUCACCUUGUAUGCUAUGGUGAGAGAGUCAGCCCCAGCAAGCACCUCAGUAUGAGCAGGUACAGCUACCACCACUCACCAACCAGGAGCAGGGCUGUCCAGGACCGGAGCCUAUACCACCACUCACACAGUGAGCGCGCCUGGCUCCGGGAGAAGCACUACCCUGAGAAGAUGCCGCAGGACAGGAGCAGGUACUACCCCGACAGGUACACCCCCUACGCAGUCAGGGAGCCCAGUAUGACGCGGCCACACAAGGACUCCUCCCGGGCCAGGAAGGGCUGGGAGCAGAUCCCAGUGAGGGAGCAGACCCACCUCCACAGCCCACACACAGGAGCUGCAGCUCCUUUCCCUCUGCACCAAAAGCACUAUCCCCAGGAGAAGGUGGCCUUCGGAGCUGACCACAAUGGUGGCCUCUCGGAUCGGCUUCAUGAACACGAAAGCGUAAAGUCAUGCAAACGCAGGUACGAGAGCACAGAAAGUAGGGACAGUCACCUGGAGAAGAAAGCCCACAGGAGCCUGCCGAGAGACCUGGACGAGCCUAAGGUGAAGAGCCGCAAAAAAUCAAAGAAGAAAAAGAAAUCGAAAGACAAACACCAAGAGCUUGGCUACAGGUAUCGGCUGGAUCCACGUGUUCUGGUAGUGUACUCUGACACUGACCUCUACAGACACAAAAAGAAGAAGAAGAAAAAGAGGAGGCGCUCAGGGAAAUCAGAAGACUCUGUAAAAGAACCAAGAUUGUACUUACUGAAGGCCUUGAGAUGUGAGACUGUCCACCAUUUCCAGAGACCCGAGGGCAGCUUCCUGCUCGCCAAUGGCCUGGCUGUGGACAUCAACAGCCUUUUCCAAAAGAAAACCAAGCAUUUAAGGAUGGAGAGCAGGGCCGACAGGUGCCACAUGUUGGAGUAUGCCCAGGGUAAGAGGAGAUUCUUGGAACUGAGAAGAGAAAAACUCUUGAUAAGUUUUUUUGGAAACGGUGACUCACACAUGGAGAUGGAACCUCAAGUGCCUUGA
ensembl:lincRNA